rnacentral:ncRNA from 1 species
UUCUUAUCCAGAGCGGUGGAGGGACUGGCCCGAUGAAGCCCGGCAACCGUCUUGCGGGGAGGCGACUUCGGUCACGUGGGGUGCGGAGCAGGCCCCGGUCGAAAGAGCUUCCGCGCGGGACCCGGUGCCAACUCCUGCGGAAGGCGCUUUUCGCGUGUCACAGGCGUCCGGACGGAGCGCAUGUGCAUGCGAGGCCGUUCCGAGAGAUGAGAA